ACACAAUGCAAUAUUUUGCCUAAGACAGCAGGUCCCCAUCCGGGGUUAAAGGUUAUUCGCCUACCGAGGAUUAUGAAAUGCGGCAGACAGACAGUCUGCGGUAUAUUAAGACAUGAAUCUACGUCCUCUGAAGUCUUGUGCUUUGGAGGACUUUUUUAUGAAUUG
rfam:Eubacterium sp. CAG:38 genomic scaffold, scf84